GCCGCGAGUACCAGGUAGUCGAGCUGCAUCCCGCUGUGAUUAAUUAGUAGCAUCGCGAUACGCAGCGCGAUUCACGCGUCGUGUCGGGAGUGCCGUGUAAAGUUUUAUACGUCGGGAGUGCCGUGUAAAGUGAUCGGGCGACCGUAAUUAUUCGUGUUUUCGCGAGUGUCGUGAGUGCAACGAUGAUCAAAGGAGGAGGAGGUCCUGCGAGGCAUCGGGCGACAGCGGGGCAACUGUAAGAUUAUGCUGUGCACUACUACAACUCCGCUAUUGCAUCUGUGUCGGAGGAGAGCAGCGCUUCCUGGAGAAUCUUCUGUCAUCCUAAUCGAUCCCAUCGACCCCGUUCGGAGAGACUCUCGCGGGAAGCCCGGACGUCGACAUCGCGACGCCCGUUCACGAGCUCCACCCACCCACGCGUCACCGUCGUACAUGCGCAACCCAGACGGUUCGCGAGAUGUCAUGUUCGCCAAACAUCGUAAAACGGCUCAUAGUGCCGUAAUCAAUCCGGCUGCAAUUACCAGACGCACGUCCGCUGCGAGAAAGAGAGAGCUGAAUUUAACGGGACAACCGACUCCGUUUAUUGAUAAUACGUACUAUAAUAUAUAGCGACCACCGGAAUAUGUCGAGUGCGAAUGCUCUUAAAUAGUAUGUUGAUGCAUAUUAACAAUAAGAAAAUGAGUUUUUCAUCUCUCGAACCCAAGAGCGAAACUGUAUACAGGAUAUCCCAGAAUUAGCGAUCACUUAUUGUUAAUGACAGAUUCUUGAGAGAUCAUUCGGAGACGAUUUUUUCUCGGCGAAAAUGUCGAGGC